ensembl:lncRNA
GUAAAGAAUCCCUCUGCCAAUGUAGAAGUCACAGGAGACAUGGCUUCCAUCCCUGGGUUGGGAAUAUUUCCUGGAGGAGGAACUGGCAACCCACUCCAGUAUUCUUGCAUGGGAAAUUCCAUGAACAGAGGAGCCUGGUGGGCCACAGUCCACGGGGUUGCAAAGAGUCAGGCACGUCUGAGCAACUGAGCAUGCACACCGUAGCGGGGGCAUCCUGGGCUGACCUUGUGGCCCAGAAAUGUUUCCUCUUGAGCAGAAGCACAUCAGAGAGCAGGAAGCUAGGUGGAACCAAGUGUUGGACACAGGUGAAACGAGCCUGUGCGAUGAGAAAGUGAAGUUACGAACAUACAGGUCUAUCCUCAGCCUGGCAGCUGGUGGAGAGAAGAUGGCAUCUCAAUUGUGGACUUGGACGACUCAAUUCUUCAGGGGCCCAAAGUACACACCAGAUGCCACGUUUCCACGGCCUUUAGCAGCGUGAGAACUGUUAUUCUUUCAGAGGUCCUGGUAAGGAACAUAGAACUAAUAAGCCACCAGCAACCGGAAGAGUUCAGGAAAGGUCAAAAGGAGACACUAUGUGUCUGACUACCUCCCUGAAUCCUUCUCACUGGCAUCCAUCUUGGCUGAGUGAUGCAUGUGCCACCAGGAAGGACUCUGAUUCAGAAUGAUUGGCUAAAGACAACCUGGAAACUAAUGCCAUCAACAUAAAACCCAAGAUUGCGAGCCACAUGGCAAAGCAGUCCUCCUGGGCUUCCUUACCCCACUGCUUUCUGCCCGGGCGCCCCUUCCCAAUAAAAUCUCUUGCUUUGUCAGCGCAUGUGUCUCUUCAGACAAUUCAUUUCCGAGUGUUAGACAAGAGCCCACUUUCGGGCCCUGGAAGGGGUCCCCCCUCCUGC